rnacentral:lncRNA from 1 species
CCACUAACAAAUUAAAAUAAGAACUAGAUUUAAAUAAAUCUAUAUAAACAUUUCAAAUAAAAUAAAAAUUAAUAAACUAAAAAAGAAAAAAAAAACACCCAAAGCCAAAAGGGAUGUCACAUAUCUUCCUGCACAGAGACGGCAAAUACACACGAUACACUAGCGAACAACAGUAAAUGCACAUAAUAAAUCUAUGAUAUAUGCAUGCAGGCUACAGAACAACAUGGUAGACGAAGCACUUGUUAGACGACCAACGAUCGAACGAUCUGUAGCCCGCACCACGAAUGCCAACCACUGUCGUACCACCGAAACACCAUCGCACACAGGAACAGGGCACACCACCGCACUACACCACUGCACCGCACCCACAGAGAGCAAAGCAAAGUUUGAAGAGUUUGGAUCAGAAAACAACGAACAAGAGAUGUCAAUUUGGGGAGGUGGGGGCUGUGAGAGCAAUGUCAGUUUGGGAGAAAAGUGGAUGUCAAUUUGGGGGAAGGUGGGGUCUGUGAGAAUAAAAGUAAAGUUAAUAGGGUUUGGGGAGAGGUG